UUGCCCAAUCCACCCCCUUCGAUCCCCUUCAAUCCACGCGUCUCCCAAGCCUUGAGGGCACAGGCAGGGAACGAGAUGGCAAAGCGACGAUGCCGCCCCGCCGCCACCAAGAGGAGGCGCCUUGCCGACGGGGACUAGGGUUUAUGCCACCGCACCGCCGCUCCCUCCCCUUCUCCACUCCCCGAGCAAAGGCGGGGACUAGGGUUUACACCGCUGCGCCACCGCCACCUCCGCUUCUCCGCUCUUCCUCUCUGGCGACCCCAGCCACCUUCGAGGCCCUCCUGUUCGUCGAUAUGCAUUGCCGCCCUAGCCCUUCGCCACGGAGCCCAAGCUUGCUUGUCCCCUAGGUAAGAGUUGUAUUUUAUUUCCUAUGGAUGUACGUGUGCUGCUUAAUUCCCCUGUAUUUUCGACUAUAUCUUGAAUCCCUUGCAUUGUUGAUCCAAGCCGGGGCUCUCUUUAUAGGUCAAUUGACUUCAUCUAUGAUGAUCUUAAUCUCUAGCUAGUCGAUUAUGUGGACUUUUGAUUUCAGUUCAGUCCGAUUAGACUAAUCUGUUGCUAUAUAUAAUCUGGGUAUCUAAUUUGUGGGACAACCGAACCGAAUCGCGUCAUGCAUGGGUGUGAGACUGAGUUAAGUACUAGCAUAACGCCUGGUGUAUUUUUUUAGCUUUUGAACCAAACUGAAUCGCAUCGUAAAAGGAAACAUAGAGAAAUUUAAGUACAAUUACAAUUUUGUUUCAUGCUGCAAUUGACGAUUGAAUUCCAUCAUUUGAUUGCACGCUGAUCUCGAAAAUUUAAUAUAUGUUUAUUGAAUAAGCUUAAUCACACUUGUUAUUUUAUAAAAUUUACUGCAGAAUGGUUGUUCUACGGUGUGAGGGUUAAAAAAAAGCUUAAUCACAGGAUCUGUAAACUACAACGACUCAUCCAGAAGUAUGUAUCAUGCAGUUUCAUUACUAGUCAAUGAGCCUCUUUCGCGCUCCGCCAGCAUCAACCUUCUCCAUGCCUCGCGGCCAUCAGCCUCCUUCACACCUACCGAAGAGCUGGUAUUUUCCCCGAGAUCGAUGUUUUCAUGCAGAGUUAUUACGAGUAUUUGCUUUUGGCCUUCUUUUAUGUGGACUCAAGAUCGAUGUUUUCAUGCAGAGUUAUUACGAGUAUUUGUUGCUUCCAGGCUGGAGUUAGAUGGUAACAAAGGAAAGAGCUCAAUUGCCAAUGGCAACAUAAAAUGCAGCCACCGAAAUACAAACAUGGCUACCACCUAUGUUAAACUUUGGUUGUAAUAGAAUAUUAUGAGGACAUGUUGUUCUUGUAACAAAAUAAUCUGGGAGUAACCUGUUCUUGUAACAGAAUAUUGUGAGGACCGACAUGGUUAGAGUUGUUAAACUAGCAAA